AAUCAAGCGUUAAAGAGCAUUUAGUGGAUGCCUUGGCAUUGAGAGGCGAUGAAGGACGUGAAAGACUGCGAAAAGCUGCGGGGAGGAGUCAAUAUCCAAUGAUCCGCGGAUAUCCGAAUAGGGAAACCUACCGCACAAGCGGUAUCUUAGUCUGAAUUCAUAGGACUUAAGAAGCGAACCCAGCGAACUGAAACAUCUAAGUAGCUGGAGGAAAAGAAAUCAACCGAGACUCCGAAAGUAGUGGCGAGCGAAAUCGGACCAGGCCAGAGCAGAUUUAGUUGGAACUAGAAUUUUUUUGGAAAAGAAAGCGAAAGAGGGUGAUAGCCCCGUAUAGGUAGCCGACUAGAAAUGACGAGAGUAGGGCGGGACACGAGAAAUCCUGUUUGAAGAUGGGGGGACCAUCCUCCAAGCCUAAGUACUCCUCAGUGACCGAUAGUGAACAAGUACCGUGAGGGAAAGGUGAAAAGUAUCCCGAUGAGGGAGGUGAAAUAGUAUCUGAAACUGAAUGCUUACAAUGCAGUCGGAGCAGCGAAUAGGCUGUGACGGCGUACCUCUUGUAUCAUGGGUCAGCGAGUUUGUUUGUGAAGCGAGCUUAAGUCGAUAGAUGUAGGCGAAGCGAAAGCGAGUCUUAAUAGGGCGUAUAGUUUCACGAAUAAGACCCGAAACCAGGUGAUCUAGCCAUGAACAGGCUGAAGGUGCGGUAAUACGUGCUGGAGGGCCGAACCAUAUGCUGUUGCAAAAGUUGUGGAUGAUUUGUGGUUAGGGGUGAAAGGCCAAUCAAACCUGGAAAUAGCUGGUUCUCCGCGAAAUCUAUUUAGGUAGAGCGUUGUAUGUUUCUUUUUGGGGGUAGAGCACUGAAUGGGCUAAGGGGAAGCGAUUCUUACUAAACCCAACCAAACUCCGAAUACCAAAAAGCAUAAGUACAGCAGACAGACGGCGGGCGAUAACGUCCGUCGUCGAAAGGGAAACAACCCUAACCACCAUCUAAGGUCCCUAAGUCAUCACUCAGUGGGUAAGGAGGUGGAUUGACCAAGACAGCUAGGAGGUUGGCUUAGAAGCAGCCAUCCUUUAAAGAAAGCGUAAUAGCUCACUAGUCUAAUUAAGUCGAUCUGCGCCGAGAAUGUAACGGGGCUAAAGUGAUGCACCGAAGAUGUGGGCUUUUCGAAAGGAAAGCGGUAGCGGAGCGUUCUGUAAGUCGUUGAAGAAAGAUUGUGAAGUCUUUUGGAGAUAUCAGAAGUGAGAAUGCUGACAUGAGUAACGUAAAGAAGUGUUAAAAACACUUCCGCCGAAAGUCCAAGGGUUCCUGUGCAAGGGUAAUCCGCACAGGGUAAGCCGGCCCCUAAGGCGAGGACGAAAGUCGUAGUCGAUGGGAAUCAGGUGAAUAUUCCUGAGCCAGCUGGAGAUGACGAAAGAAGUAGGGUGUUAGUUCUAAUUGGAUUGAGCUAGCUACGUAUUUUUUUCCAGGAAAUAAUCCCAGCAAUAGACCGUACCCCAAACCGACACUGGUGGACAAGUAGAGUAUACUAAGGCGCUUGAGAGAAUGAUGUUGAAGGAACUCGGCAAAUUGACUCCGUAACUUCGGGAUAAGGAGUACCUUAAUGGGGGAAACCCUGUUGAGGUGACACAUAAGAGGGAGUAGCGACUGUUUAACUAAAACACAGGGCUCUGCGAAGAAGAAAUUCGAUGUAUAGGGUCUGACGCCUGCCCGGUGCUGGAAGGUUAAGAGGAGGUGUGCAAGCACCGAAUUGAAGCCCCAGUAAACGGCGGCCGUAAAUCUAACGGUCCUAAGGUAGCGAAAUUCCUUGUCGGGUAAGUUCCGACCUGCAUGAAUGGCGUAACGACUUCUCCACUGUCUCCAACAUCAACUCAGUGAAAUUGAAUUCUCCGUGAAGAUGCGGAGUACCCGCGGUUAGACGGAAAGACCCCGUGCACCUUUACUAUAGCUUUGCAUUGGUACAAGGUAGAUUCUGUGUAGGAUAGGUGGGAGGCUUUGAAGCAUUGGCGCUAGCUGGUGUGGAGCCGACCUUGAAAUACCACCCUGAAUCUAUUUGGUAUCUAACUGAGCGCUGUAUAACCAGCGCCAGGACCAUGCAUGGUGGGUAGUUUGACUGGGGCAGUCGCCUCCUAAAUUGUAACGGAGGCGCGCGAUGGUAAGCUCAGGCUGGACAGAAAUCAGCUGUAGCGUGCAAUGGCACAAGCUUGCCUGACUGUAAGACUUACAAGUCGAACAGAGACGAAAGUCGGUCAUAGUGACCCGGUGAUCCCUCAUGGAAGGGUCAUCGAUCAACGGAUAAAAGGUACGCCGGGGAUAACAGGCUUAUCCCUCCCAAGAGUUCUUAUCGACGGGGGGGUUUGGCACCUCGAUGUCGGCUCAUCGCAUCCUGGGGCUGGAGAAGGUCCCAAGGGUUUGGCUGUUCGCCAAUUAAAGCGGUACGUGAGCUGGGUUCAGAACGUCGUGAGACAGUUCGGUCCCUAUCUGCCGUGGGUGUUAGAAAAUUGAGAGGAUCUUUCCCUAGUACGAGAGGACCGGGAUGGACGUACCUCUGGUGUACCAGUUGUUUUGCCAAAAGCAGUGCUGGGUAGCUAUGUACGGACUAGAUAACCGCUGAAAGCAUCUAAGCGGGAAACUAACCUCAAAACUAAUUUUCUCUAUGAGGACUGUGGUAGACUACCACGUUGAUAGGCUGAGUGUGUACGAAGGGUAACCUUUUUAGCUAAUCAGUACUAAUCGUCCCAUUGGCUUGAUUUA
rfam:Holospora obtusa F1 contig000005, whole genome shotgun sequence.